CUCCAACGGCUUCUUGUGUUCAAGUGAGCAGCGAAACUGGUCCCCUCUUGCUCUUUGAGCUGAGGUUGCCAGAAGAACAAGAAAUGAAAUUUAAGUUGGUUUGGGGUGUGCUGCUCAUCAGACAUAGAAAACAGAAUUCUGGUGUCUCACAGAGGCCUUUCAAAAUGCACCUCAAGGAACAAAGCAUAUGCCACCUUCCUCGGCAGAUCCCAGAGCCAACAUCAACCAGAAAGAGGUGCUACCAUCCUCAAACCACUAACAUUUCAAAUGCUAUCUCUACUCUAAAGCCUACUCUGAGCCCAUCGUGA
rnacentral:lncRNA from 12 species